rnacentral:rRNA from 1 species
GACGGACGCUGGCGGCGUGCUUAACACAUGCAAGUCGAACGGAAAGGCCCUGCUUUUGUGGGGUGCUCGAGUGGCGAACGGGUGAGUAACACGUGAGUAACCUGCCCUUGACUUUGGGAUAACUUCAGGAAACUGGGGCUAAUACCGGAUAGGAGCUCCUGCUGCAUGGUGGGGGUUGGAAAGUUUCGGCGGUUGGGGAUGGACUCGCGGCUUAUCAGCUUGUUGGUGGGGUAGUGGCUUACCAAGGCUUUGACGGGUAGCCGGCCUGAGAGGGUGACCGGCCACAUUGGGACUGAGAUACGGCCCAGACUCCUACGGGAGGCAGCAAUGGGGAAUAUUGCACAAUGGGCGGAAGCCUGAUGCAGCAACGCCGCGUGCGGGAUGACGGCCUUCGGGUUGUAAACCGCUUUCGCCUGUAACGAAGCGUGAGUGACGGUAAUGGGUAAAGAAGCACCGGCUAACUACGUG